rnacentral:rRNA from 1 species
UACGAAGGGGGCUAGCGUUGCUCGGAAUCACUGGGCGUAAAGCGCACGUAGGCGGAUUGUUAAGUCGGGGGUGAAAUCCUGGAGCUCAACUCCAGAACUGCCUUCGAUACUGACGAUCUCGAGUCCGGGAGAGGUGAGUGGAACUCCGAGUGUAGAGGUGAAAUUCGUAGAUAUCGAGAGGAACACCGGUGGCGAAGGCGGCCUUCUGGACAGUGACUGACGCUGAGACGCGAAAGCGUGGGGAGCAAACAGG